GUUUCAAGAUCCUAUAGAAUUGAGAUAAUUAUUUAAAAUUCAACAGAUAACACAAAGAAAUUGGAAAAAUGCAUUAAUACAUUGAAAUUCUGCGACAAUGGAACAAGUAAAUGAGGAUAUAACUAGUUUCUAAUUACAUAGUAUAUAUUAUCUGGAGAAACAAAAUAAGAUUGUGAAGUCUUCAGACUAAGCUUCCGAAAUACGCUUCUUCAAAAGACAUCAACUUCCUAGAAUUUCACCAUACUUUGUGAUCUGCAUGAGGGAACAACACAAACAUGACAACAAAAUAUUGAAAGCUGAAGAGAUCAGCAUGCACAGGUGUAUAUUAAUAUGAUUAAUAAGCUAUGACAAAACAUGCACUAAAAAAUCAUAUGUACAUGCAUUAAAAACGAGCUCAUACAGUAGAUAAGUGAAUUGAUAUGUGAGUUUCUAAACUCAUCAUACUUUCAUACAAGCACUGAAUUCAACAGAAGUGCACAACAGUGUGAAAAUCAUGUCAGAGAAAAUGUGCAUGCGUUUAUCUCACUUCAGAAAUAAUCCUAGUUUUAUCUCAAAGGUAACCAUUAACAUCUUUCAAACUAUAUGCGAUGAUAUAGUUCCAAAAGGAACAACUUAGGAAAUAAACAAAUAAAUUUAAUAUAUUGAUAAUAUAGGAAUUGAUGUCAGGUCAUUUGCCUCCAUGAGCUGAUAAUCUGGUAACACAUUUAUACGAAUUUGCAACUAGGAACAAUGAAAUUGCUCAACUACUAGAUAUAAAUAUAAAAUAUCUAUCUUAAGUGCUAUUACUUGGAUAUUGCCUGCCAAAAAUAUAUAGCACAAAUAGACAUAUUUGCUUCAUCAAAACCUCACAUAAACUCCUAUAUAAUUUUGGUGAAAAUUCGGCACUGUAUUUCCUUCUUUUUAAGAGUGUAAACAAGAUCCAAUCAUAACUGCGUUGAGCUUUUGAUCAAACACGAAAAAAAAGUAAUAACCACUUAGUGCAAACCUCCAAAACAUUCAAGUUUUUUCAGAAGUUGUUUUAUGGAAUAAGUUGAUAAGCUCAACUAUAAAAAAGAUUUUUAUAGAAGUUGGUUGCAGUACAAUAUAAUGAAUGAAUUUUAAUUCUAGAUGUGUGCAUUAUUUCAUAUCAUGUAAAAAAAGGGCUACUACUUGCUUUUAGGGUCAACACAUUCCAGCAACAAUGGUCAAAUUUGGAUGUAAAAUUGUUGAUAUCUAGGGUGCAAAGUAAUUGAAUAUAUGGGAGCAAGAUGUCACAUGAACAAAUAGAUGACAAUUAGGAGCAAAUGAAAGAAAUGUGCUCCCUAGGAGGAAUACAGAAUGCAGGGAACAGAGAUGCCAGAUACCCCACAAGAAAAAUGGCACAAAAGCACAAGUUCCCUUACUACAGUAUGGACGUUCAGAGUAUAGUUCUUACAGUAUGGACGUUCAAUGUACAGUUCUUACAAUUGAGGUACUGCUUAACUAUGUUAUACGAAAUAUUUGACGUUAGUAUAUAAAGUAGACUUCAACUCAUGCAUCUCCAGGUCAAGGAUUUGCCCCCUUAUUUGACAAUAGAUAAUGUCAUGUUGAGAAACAGUUUCAGGAUACAUAUAAUAAUUUGCCAGUGGCUAGCAGACAUCAGAAAUGCUUAUGCAGUAGCACCUUUCAAACGUUAGUACAACUGAAUGCUCAUUACAAAUCUAAGCACAAAGAAUACAGGCUCAAUGCCAAACGUGAGCAAACAAAACGACACAUGUUCUUGUAUUUUUCGAAUUCAGAGGACAAAAAUCAACAAGUGGCAUUCACCCAAACAGCUACGAGAGAAAGUAGGCCAACUAUGCACAUCAAAGAGUUUCUUACCAGUUACCAUGAUGGCGCCGUCGAUGAGGCCACUGUUGGCAGGCGUGCAGUCGACAUUGUCUAGCUCAACACAGAGGAAGAUGGAGUCUGCAGGAGCUCAACAACGAUGGUCGUCCAAGUCGUCGAUGCAGGGGUGCCGACUCUGCGCGCAGUCCAACUCCGCUCACUAGUCAAGCUCGAGGUCAGCUACCGUGUGAGCUGCGAGCAGUUCGUACAACCUGAACAAAGAUACAGAAAAUGAGAAAGAAAUGAGGAGAAGAACCAGCCAGAGUUCUAAGAGAGGGACCAACCGAAUCUGCGUGGCUGUCGGCCUGAGAUGAGCCUACACCGGAUCUGGUGGCCGAGCUCUACUGAUGGAUACCAUUAUGCUCAGGCCACCAGAUCCCGUCAGCCCUCCGUCAUUGCCGCCCCUGUUGGUGAUGGUGGAGCUCAACUGCUCAAGG
rnacentral:lncRNA from 1 species